AGGGCUAUAGCUCAGUUGGUAGAGCACCACCGAGAAGGUCUACGGUUCGAGUCCGUAUAGCCCUA
rnacentral:tRNA from 1 species